AGAUCUGGAGUCUUGGUGCCGAUUAUGAGAAUCUUAGAGAAUGAGUGGGUGAGUUUGGCUGGAAUUUAGAGAAGCGUCUCAUUAAUUGGGCGAUUUGGGCGAAAUAGGCUGUCAUUGGAGCGAAUUAGAGUGGAGAUUCGAACAAGUCUUCGUAUUGACGGUGAGGCGUAGGUUGGAUCGGUGAGUGCAGGAACGAUUCCCAUAGGAUUCUACACACUCCGCUCUGUGAAACUCAAACUUGGUUUGGUUUUUACACAUCUUAUAGUUGAUCCAUUUGAUGAUUAGUUUUGCAUUAUCAUUGAAGAAGAUUGGCCAUGAAUUCCAGGUGCUCCCACUAGAAGAUGGUCCUUUGAGUUCUGUAUGGAGAAACGAAGGAAUUUAUGUCAGUACCAUAGAUACUAAUGGAAGUCUGAAAGUAGACUGGCUAAAGUGAAAAAGGUUGAAGAAACAAGUGAACAUCUUUUAUCAGCCCUCAAGGCAGAGUAGGAAGAACUAGAGUCAUCCCUCAACAAAGAAAAAUUGCAAACACUUCAGUUGAAGCAAGAGUUAGCAGAUGCGGAGACUCGCAACACUGACCUAUACAAGGUAACUACUGCUGGCCUGCCACAAUUUGAACUGAAUAUGGUUCCUCAUUCUAUUAUCUCCCACAAUUCCCAUUCUUGACUAAAGUAUGCCAGAAUGAACCAGCAGGCUCUAAAAUUUUGUAAAA